rnacentral:rRNA from 1 species
UGCAAGUCGAGGGGUAGAGGCCUUCGGGCCUUGAGACCGGCGCACGGGUGCGUAACGCGUAUGCAAUCUGCCUUCCACAGAGGGAUAGCCCAGAGAAAUUUGGAUUAAUACCUCAUAGCAUCAUGACCCGGCAUCGGGAUAUGAUUAAAGUCACAACGGUGGAAGAUGAGCAUGCGUCCCAUUAGCUAGUUGGUAAGGUAACGGCUUACCAAGGCUACGAUGGGUAGGGGUCCUGAGAGGGAGAUCCCCCACACUGGUACUGAGACACGGACCAGACUCCUACGGGAGGCAGCAGUGAGGAAUAUUGGUCAAUGGGCGCAAGCCUGAACCAGCCAUGCCGCGUGCAGGAUGACGGUCCUAUGGAUUGUAAACUGCUUUUGUACGGGAAGAAACCCUCCUACGUGUAGGAGCUUGACGGUACCGUAAGAAUAAGGAUCGGCUAACUCCGUGCCAGCAGCCGCGGUAAUACGGAGGAUCCAAGCGUUAUCCGGAAUCAUUGGGUUUAAAGGGUCUGUAGGCGGUCUUGUAAGUCAGUGGUGAAAGCCCAUCGCUCAACGGUGGAACGGCCAUUGAUACUGCUGGACUUGAAUUAUUGGGAAGCAACUAGAAUAUGUAGUGUAGCGGUGAAAUGCUUAGAGAUUACAUGGAAUACCAAUUGCGAAGGCAGGUUGCUACCAAUGGAUUGACGCUGAUGGACGAAAGCGUGGGUAGCGAACAGGAUUAGAUACCCUGGUAGUCCACGCCGUAAACGAUGGAUACUAGCUGUUGGGCGCAAGUUCAGUGGCUAAGCGAAAGUGAUAAGUAUCCCACCUGGGGAGUACGAACGCAAGUUUGAAACUCAAAGGAAUUGACGGGGGCCCGCACAAGCGGUGG